CUGUUUGCUGUGUUCCUGUCCCUGGUGGUUCGGAAAUGGCUUCUGCAAGCUUCAUCAUUCACAGAUAUGAGCCUAGCCAAAGAUUAAAUGGAAGAAACAGAUGGUGUGACUGCAAUGGGAAGGAAUGUCCCUGAAAUCACAUUGGACGGACUGUGCACGCUUUGCCUGAGGAAGAACCAUUGUGAUCCAGAGAAAGGAGGGCUGCAUUUGAAGCACAGGUCGGGUGUUCAGGAUGACCGGACAUGGCUGUAGUGGGAGACCACGGCCUUUUUAAACUAAGGUCUUUAACUCGUCUGCUUAACUGAGGAAAUGCCCGAUCUGGGAUUAAAGCUAG